rnacentral:rRNA from 1 species
GACGAACGCUGGCGGCGUGCCUAAUACAUGCAAGUCGAACGCAGUGGGGACGGGUGAGUAACACGUGGGUAACCUCCCAUCAGAGGGGAUAACACUUGGAAACAGGUGCUAAACCGAUACUGAUGGAUGGACCCGCGGUGCAUUAGCUAGUUGUUGAGGUAACGGCUCACCAAGGCCACGAUGCAUAGCGGACCGGAGAGGGUGAGGGGGAAAACUGGGACUGAGACACGGCCCAGAAGCCUAAGGGAGGCAGAAGUAGGGAAGCUUCGGCAAUGGAGGAAAGUGUGACCGAGCAACGCCGCGUGAGGGAAGAAGGUUUUCGGAUCGUAAAACUCUGUUGUUAGAGAAGCGGUAUCUAACCAGAAAGCCACGGCUAACUACGUGCCAGCCGCCGCGGUAAUUC